rnacentral:lncRNA from 1 species
GGGGAACCGCCGUCAUUUCGCAGGCAGCAGCAGCGGCACGGAGGAAGGUUGCUCUCUAGAUGUGGGGACUGACAGCCUCCUCCUUUCCAGCAGUGAGAGGGCCCAGCAGAGUCUGGUGUCAGGCUAGUGUUGCUCCGUGGCCCUGAGACCUUUCAGAUCCCGGGCAAAAAGGCUGGUACGGUCUCCCCAUUUCCCCCCCUUCCUGUGCCCCUGGGGCCCCAGCAGCCGAAAGCCCUGGAUGAAUCCGCCCUCUAUCAGGACAAGGCCUCUGCUCCCUUCCCUUUCAGAGGAGCUGCUCACUGACAAACUGACCUACUUUGGAAGACUACAUUUUCUGAUUCCAAGAAUUUGGGGGUGGGAGGGGCUGUGAAACUUCGGGCUGCCUACCCCUGAAUCCCUUUCUACUAAAGUUCUCUAAAACAUUUCACAGUCUCAGAAAACUUGGGGCAAGCCCUGCUCAGUCAAUUAAUGGCAGGAGCUGGGUUUCAGCAACUCUGUUUCCCUUGAAAGAUAGGAAAAUGGAGGGGGUGGUUAUCUGUGCCAUAAAUUAAUAGACUCCUGCUUAUCUCCCCCUUUUCCCUGCCCCAGAAGGGAAUGAUCUGUACCUUUAAAAAGAGAAAAGGGGAGAAAAGAUGGAUUUUCUGAAUCACAUUCUGUGAGGAAUUCAAAUCUCUUGGAAGAACAGGAGAGAUACCCUUUUCAUCAAGUGGCCUGAUGAGGGAAGGUCACCUGGCGUGGAGCAGAAGAACUAUGAUGGCCUGUGGAGGCCCGCAGUGUGCUUCGGGAGGGCUGCAUGCUGCAGCCUUUCCCUCUGCUUCCAUAUGACUCUUCCAGGAGAGAUGGCUGCUGACAUCUAAAAUUCUCAAAGUACAGAGGAGGAGUUCCUGGCCUCCACUUCCAUUCAAAAACCAUCCUGUGCAGAGGCCACUUCUUAUCUAGGACAUGCCAAUCUGCUGAAAGCAGGGAAAACUUGGUUUCAUAGCACGGUGAAGCAAAUCACCUCCAUGAGUAUCCAAUAUUCUCCAUAAACAGGUUUGAAAAGAGCUCCACAGGAUUUGUAGUUUCUCAUUUGCCUGCUUUAUGGUAGGGACUGGAUUUUAUCCAUCUGAGUGUUCCCCAGCACUAAAGCAGGGUCCCAAGUGUACUUGUUGCUCAGUAGUGGUUUUCUGAAUAGGCUUAACUGAGCAGGAGGUAGGAGGACUGGCUCGCUCCUCACAAGGCCAUGACUUUUGUUCUAAUAAAGUCUCUUCCAAUUAAAUGAGUCUACCUGAUCCCUGUCAUUCUGUCAAGCAUGUGGCAGAUAUUGAAUGCCUUUACCCAUUCCAACUCCUUCCCUCCUUAAACAAGAAAGGGGUCAGAGUCAACAUCUUACCUUACAUUACCCGGGUGUUGCCAAUGACUCUC